rnacentral:rRNA from 1 species
AUUGCCCUAGUAACGGCGAGUGAAGCGGCAACAGCUCAAAUUUGAAAUCUGGCUCUUUUAGAGUCCGAGUUGUAAUUUGCAGAGGGCGCUUUGGCUUUGGCAGCGGUCCAAGUUCCUUGGAACAGGACGUCACAGAGGGUGAGAAUCCCGUACGUGGUCGCUAGCUAUUGCCGUGUAAAGCCCCUUCGACGAGUCGAGUUGUUUGGGAAUGCAGCUCUAAAUGGGAGGUAAAUUUCUUCUAAAGCUAAAUACUGGCCAGAGACCGAUAGCGCACAAGUAGAGUGAUCGAAAGAUGAAAAGCACUUUGGAAAGAGAGUCAAACAGCACGUGAAAUUGUUGAAAGGGAAGCGCUUGCCGCCAGACUUGCUUGCAGUUGCUCACCCGGGCCCUUUUGCCCGGUGCACUCUUCUGCAGGCAGGCCAGCAUCAGUUUGGGCGGUGGGAUAAAGGUCUCUGUCACGUACCUCUCUUCGGGGAGGCCUUAUAGGGGAGACGACAUACCACCAGCCUGGACUGAGGUCCGCGCAUUUUUUGCUAGGAUGCUGGCGUAAUGGCUGUAAGCGGCCCGUCUUGAAACACGGACCAAGGAGUCUAACAUCUAUGCGAGUGUUUGGGUGUCAAGCCCGAACGCGUAAUGAAAGUGAACGGAGGUGGGAACCCGCAAGGGUGCACCAUCGACCGAUCCUGAUGUCUUCGGAAGGAUUUGAGUAAGAGCAUGGCUGUUGGGACCCGAAAGAUGGUGAACUAUGCUUGAAUAGGGUGAAGCCAGAGGAAACUCUGGUGGAGGCUCGCAGCGGUUCUGACGUGCAAAUCGAUCGUCAAAUUUGGGCAUAGGGGCGAAAGACUAAUCGAACUAUCUAGUA